AACACAUGCAAGUCGAACGGGGUAGCAAUACCCAGUGGCGAACGGGUGCGUAACACGUGAGGAACAUGUCUUCCCGCGGGGAAUAGCCCGGUAACGGCCGGGUAAUACCGCGUACGACGAUUGGGCGCAUGCCUCGAUCGUGAAAGCAGCAAUGCACCGAUAGAGUGCCUCGCGGCCUAUCAGCUAGUUGGUGAGGUAAUGGCUCACCAAGGCGACGACGGGUAGCUGGUCUGAGAGGAUGAUCAGCCACAUUGGGACUGAGACACGGCCCAGACUCCUACGGGAGGCAGCAGUGGGGAAUAUUGCGCAAUGGGCGAAAGCCUGACGCAGCGACGCCGCGUGUGGGAUGAAGGUCUUCGGAUUGUAAACCACUGUCGGGAGGGACGAAUGCGCCGCAAGGCGAGUGACGGUACCUCCAAAGGAAGCACCGG
rnacentral:rRNA from 1 species